rnacentral:piRNA from 1 species
UGAUGGAAGCUCUGUUGUGGAUGCAAUU